rnacentral:rRNA from 1 species
GAAAGCAUGGGCAGCGAACAGGAUUAGAUACCCUGGUAGUCCAUGCCGUAAACGAUGAGCGUUCGCCCUUGGUCUACAUAGAUCAGGGGCCCAGCUAACACAUGAAACACUC